AGCGAACGCUGGCGGCAGGCCUAACACAUGCAAGUCGAACGGAUCCUUCGGGAUUAGUGGCGGACGGGUGAGUAACACGUGGGAACGUGCCCUUUGGUUCGGAACAACUCAGGGAAACUUGAGCUAAUACCGGAUGUGCCCUUCGGGGGAAAGAUUUAUCGCCAUUGGAGCGGCCCGCGUCUGAUUAGCUAGUUGGUGAGGUAACGGCCCACCAAGGCGACGAUCAGUAGCUGGUCUGAGAGGAUGAUCAGCCACACUGGGACCGAGACACGGCCCAGACUCCUACGGGAGGCAGCAGUGGGGAAUCUUGCGCAAUGGGCGAAAGCCUGACGCAGCCAUGCCGCGUGAAUGAUGAAGGUCUUAGGAUUGUAAAAUUCUUUCAGCGGGGACGAUAAUGACGGUACCCGCAGAAGAAGCUCCGGCUAACUUCGUG
rnacentral:rRNA from 1 species